rnacentral:rRNA from 1 species
AGAACGAACGCUGGCGGCAUGCCUAACACAUGCAAGUCGAACGCUUCCGGGGCUUCGGUCGCGGAGGAGUGGCGCACGGGUGAGUAGCGCGUGGGAACCUGCCCUGUUGUGGGGGAUAACCGAGGGAAACUUCGGCUAAUACCGCAUACGCCCCGGGACUUGGUCUUCGGAUUAGGUCUAGGGGGGAAAGAUUGAUCGCAGCAGGAGGGGCCCGCGUCGGAUUAGCUGGUUGGUGGGGUAACGGCUCACCAAGGCGAUGAUCCGUAGCUGGUCUGAGAGGAUGAUCAGCCACACUGGGACUGAGACACGGCCCAGACUCCUACGGGAGGCAGCAGUGGGGAAUAUUGGACAAUGGGGGCAACCCUGAUCCAGCAAUGCCGCGUGAGUGAUGAAGGCCUUAGGGUUGUAAAGCUCUUUCGCCCGCGACGAUGAUGACGGUAGCGGGAGAAGAGCCCGGCUAACUUCGUGCCAGCAGCCGCGU